UGAAUACGAGACGCUAAGGCGUCGAAGUAGUGUAUGUCAUACUUCCAAGAAAAGCUUGCACUGUCAUAGAUAAAAAACGCCUGUACCAUAACCGACACAGGUGGGUAGGUAGAGUAUACUAAGGGGCGCGAGAUAACUCUCUCUAAGGAACUCGGCAAAAUAACUCCGUAACUUCGGGAGAAGGAGUGCCUUAUUCGUAAGGUUGCAAUAACAAGAUCCAAGCAACUGUUUAUCAAAAACACAGGUCUCCGCUAAGUCGUAAGACGAUGUAUGGGGGCUGACGCCUGCCCAGUGCCAGAAGGUUAAAGAAGUUGGUUAGCAAUUGCGAAGCUGAUAACUGAAGCCCUGGUGAACGGCGGCCGUAACGAUAACGGUCCUAAGGUAGCGAAAUUCCUUGUCGGGUAAGUUCCGACCCGCACGAAAGGCGUAAUGAUUUGGAUACUGUCUCGGAGAGGGGCUCGGUGAAAUAGACUUGUCUGUGAAGAUGUGGACUACCUGCACCAGGACAGAAAGACCCUAUGAAGCUUUACUGUAACUUGAAAUUGAAAUUGGACUUUAUUCGCGCAGUAUAGGUGGGAGGCGUUGAUUAUAAUCUUGUGGGAUUAUUGGAGCCAUCAGUGAGAUACCACUCUUGUAAUGUUAGAUUUCUAACUUUGAAUCAUUAUCUGGUCAAAGAACAGUUUCAGGCGGGCAGUUUGACUGGGGCGGUCGCCUCCUAAACGGUAACGGAGGCGUACAAAGGUUUCCUCUGAACGGUUAGAAAUCGUAUCUAGAGUGUAAAGGCAUAAGGAAGCUUGACUGUGAGACCUACAAGUCGAGCAGGGACGAAAGUCGGUCUUAGUGAUCUGACGGUACUGAGUGGAAAGGCCGUCACUCAACGGAUAAAAGUUACUCUAGGAUAACAGGCUGAUCUCCCCCAAGAGUUCACAUCGACGGGGAGGUUUGGCACCUCGAUGUCGGCUCAUCGCAUCCUGGGGCGGUAGUACGUCCCAAGGGUUGGGCUGUUCGCCCAUGAAAGCGGUACGCGAGCUGGGUUCAGAACGUCGUGAGACAGUUCGGUCCAUAUCCGGUGUAGGCGUUAGAAUAUUGAGAGGAGCCUUCUUUAGUACGAGAGGACCGAGAAGGACAUACCUCUGGUGUACCAGUUAUCGUGCCAACGGUAAACGCUGGGUAGCUAUGUAUGGAGUGGAUAACCGCUGAAAGCAUCUAAGUGGGAAGCCCACCUCAAGAUAAGUAUUCUCA
rnacentral:rRNA from 1 species